CCUACGGGAGGCAGCAGUGAGGAAUAUUGGACAAUGGGCGCAAGCCUGAUCCAGCCAUGCCGCGUGCAGGAAGACGCAUCUAUGGUGUGUAAACUGCUUUUGUACGGGAAGAAACACUCCUUCGUGAAGGAGCUUGACGGUACCGUAAGAAUAAGGAUCGGCUAACUCCGUGCCAGCAGCCGCGGUAAUACGGAGGAUCCAAGCGUUAUCCGGAAUCAUUGGGUUUAAAGGGUCCGUAGGCGGUUUAAUAAGUCAGUGGUGAAAUCUGGUCGCCCAACGAUCAAACGGCCAUUGAUACUGUUAGACUUGAAUUACUAGGAAGUAACUAGAAUAUGUAGUGUAGCGGUGAAAUGCUUAGAUAUUACAUGGAAUACCAAUUGCGAAGGCAGGUUACUACUAGUGGAUUGACGCUGAUGGACGAAAGCGUGGGGAGCGAACAGGAUUAGAUACCCUGGUAGUCCACGCCGUAAACGAUGGAUACUAGCUGUUGGGCGCAAGUUCAGUGGCUAAGCGAAAGUGAUAAGUAUCCACCUGGGGAGUACGUUCGCAAGAAGUAGUUAAGUUAAAUAGUUAAGUUAGAGNGNGNGAGNGCGAGACGACGACGAGGAGAGG
rnacentral:rRNA from 1 species